UAACACAUGCAAGUUGNCAGUCGACAGCGCACNNGAGAGCUUGCUCUCUGGGUGGNGAGUGGCGGACGGGUGAGGAAUACAUCGGAAUCUACCUUUUCGUGGGGGAUAACGUAGGGAAACUUACGCUAAUGCCGCAUACGACCUACGGGUGAAAGUGGGGGACCGCAAGGCCUCNCNNGAUUAGAUGAGCCGAUGUCCGAUUAGCUAGUUGGCGGGGUAAUGGCCCACCAAGGCGACGAUCGGUAGCUGGUCUGAGAGGAUGAUCACCCACACUGGAACUGANACACGGUCCAGACUCCUACGGGAGGCACCAGUGGGGAAUAUUGGACAAUGGGCGCAAGCCUGAUCCAGCCAUACCGCGUGGGUGAAGAAGGCCUUCGGGUUGUAAAGCCCUUUUGUUGGGAAAGAAAUCCUAUCGGUUAAUAACCGGUGGGGAUGACGGUACCCAAAGAAUAAGCACCGGCUAACUUCGUGCCAGCAGCCGCGGUAAUACGAAGGGUGCAAGCGUUACUCGGAAUUACUGGGCGUAAAGCGUGCGUAGGUGGUGGUUUAAGUCUGCUGUGAAAGCCCUGGGCUCAACCUGGGAAUUGCAGUGGAUACUGGAUCACUAGAGUGUGGUAGAGGGAUGCGGAAUUUCUGGUGUAGCAGUGAAAUGCGUAGAGAUCAGAAGGAACAUCCGUGGCGAAGGCGGCAUCCUGGGCCAACACUGACACUGAGGCACGAAAGCGUGGGGAGCAAACAGGAUUAGAUACCCUGGUAGUCCACUCCCUAAACGAUGCGAACUGGAUGUUGGGUGCNNNNUGGCANNCNGUNAUCGAAGCUAACGCUUNAGUNUCCCCGNCUG
rnacentral:rRNA from 1 species